rnacentral:lncRNA from 1 species
UCGACUUCGCCGCUACCAGGAGAAAUAUUUUGAUCCUGUUGCUUUUGGCUUGGAUCUUGUCUUGCUGGUGUGAUCGCCUAGGAACUCUUUCAUUGUGAGGUAGUCUCAAUCCACUAUAGGAGGAACCGCUUAUCGUUGUCUCGCUUUGCUGCUUCGGUUUGCUUUGUGUAAGGCAUUCCAGUCAUGGUUUUGAUUUGGUAGGUAUGGAGUUUGUGCUAGAUUCCAGAUUUAAUUUGUUGAGUCUCUUGUUUUAGUUUUCAUUUAUUCCUUGUUUCUUUCCCUGUAAUUUAGGGCCUCGUUUCCCUUGUUUGGGUUUAGUUUCUGGGGGUUAAAGUCCCGCCGGCUUAGUUUCUAGGGGUUAAAGUCCCGCCGACCUUUGUAUUCCGACAAUGUAAUUCACCUUUGUUAUAUAAUCAUUCAGACGAAAAAAAAAGG